UACGAAGGGGGCUAGCGUUGCUCGGAAUCACUGGGCGUAAAGCGCACGUAGGCGGAUUGCUAAGUCAGGGGUGAAAUCCUGGAGCUCAACUCCAGAACUGCCUUUGAUACUGGCGAUCUCGAGUCCGGGGAGAGGUGAGUGGAACUGCGAGUGUAGAGGUGAAAUUCGUAGAUAUUCGCAAGAACACCAGUGGCGAAGGCGGACUCACUGGCCCGGUACUGACGCUGAGGUGCGAAAGCGUGGGGAGCAACAGGG
rnacentral:rRNA from 1 species